CUCCUUUGGGCCUCAUCGCUAACCACAGUUCCAUCGACGGCCUGGCGGUUGAGAACAUCACCUUCACCUUCAGCUCCACUCUCAUGACCGGAGGAUGCAGGGUGUCCGGCCAGUCCACCUCUCUGGGAUUCACCAGCCUUCUGGACAACGGCCUCAACUAUUGCAACCUGUACGAUCUGCUCUCAGCUAGCGGACUGGCCAGCGGACCUGGAUUCAUGGAGAUGACCAACGAGUGGGCUUGCCUGGGUUACGGACUUGCCACAUGCAAAGCUUGAAAGAAAAGAAAGAAAGAAAAAGAAAGCAACAAAAAACUUAUUCUGUCUUUUAAGCAUUCAAAUGGUGUCCUGCGCAUCUUAUAGUUGACGUUUGCCGAUGCUUGAUCGAAAC